CACAUACACAUAUAUACACAAUGAUACAUUUAAAUUUUCCUAUUUCCUUGGUGAUUACAAUGCCAUUCUCAGAAUCUCUUGCUCUUGAAAUGAUCAUGACUCGAUGCCACUGCUAAAAAUAUUUUGUGCUGUGCGCAAGAAAUACCAACAAGACACCGCCAGGCAUUUCGGGGUUUGCCACAGAGCUAGAAAGAUGCGCUGCCGCUUCUGCAUUCGUUCUCAAGGCUCCAGAACAACAACAAAUCAGAUAUUUUUUGCGGAGUAUUAAGUAAAAGCUGCUGGGUAUCACUGUGCAAAGGCAAUGUGACAUUUGAGCUCAAGAGAAGACUUGCCUUCAUCUCCCAGAAACCAAAUAACAAACCCUUGCAAAAAACCCUCACCCAAUCUGGGAUUUCAGGUGGCCCCGAGAUUUCAAAUUCUGGCCAGUUCAGGCGGAUGUUGGGGGGAUGAGGGAGGGGUGGUCGUGGGACCGGAGUGGCUUUGUGAAGGAUCCUGUUUCCUCGUCCCAGCACGGAGCAGGUCACCAGCCACCGGUGGCCACGUGGCCCCGGCAGUGACCGGUGAUGGGGAAAGGUCGGGGCUGCCCGCAGGACCCGCGUCCCUGCCCGCAGGGCUCUGCCUGCGCCGCUGCCGCUCACUUCACCUGCGCCACGAUGAAGCCGGACUCCUUCAUGCUCUCGUAGUACUCAAUGGCCAACGCAAAGUCAAACUCGUUGAUGGCCGGCCCAUCGAUGGCGAUCUUCAUGAGGUCGGAGAGCCCCUCGUCCUUCGCGCGGUGCGACCGGCCGCGCUUCAGCAGCUCCCGGCCCCGGCUGAUCUUCUCGGCAAGGACCGAGCCCAGUGGCAAGGCCAGGGCGAUGGCCGCGAGGACGGCGAAGUCCGGGAAGAGCUCGUGCAUCUCGGAGUUGCUGUAGACCAGCUUGACGCAGAGGUCCUUGAAGGAGAGCUGGCUGAGGCUGAAGACGAUCCGCUUGAAGAGGGGGAAAUCGCUCAGGGCCCUCUCGCUCACCACCACCCGGGAGUAAGCCUGCAGGAGGAAAUUCAGCUCACUCACCCCGUAGCUGCCGAUGUCCUCCAAAGAUUGAGGGUAGCACUUGGGGUUGAAAAUGGCCGAGAAGGAGCUGAUGGCCUCCAGGACGCUGCUGGGGAACCUGUCCAGCAGGUUGCCCCGCACGCUCUCCAGGUAACUCUCCUUCAGGCGCUCGAAGUGCUUCAGGUGCACCUUGGAGCAGUUGGCCAGCUCAACGCCCUUGUAGUAGAGGCGGCUCUCGCCCUCCCGGUCGUCCCGCGGGUGCUCGUUCAUCUCGUUGAGGAACUCCUGGAGGUUCUGGCCGCUGGCACUCUUCUGGGCCUGCAGGGUGGUGGCCGUGGUGGAGACGAUGGGCUUCAGGAUGGAGAGGUCGAAGUCCUCGAUCUGGAAGAAGCGGCUGAGUUUCUGGAAGAUUGGGAGGACGUCCAGGAGGAUCUUGGUGAAGGCCACAAACUGGAACUUCUUGAGCUCUUCGCAGAGGCCGUGGGCCACGGGCGACCGCUCCGCCUCGCUCUCCAGCAGCAGCACCAGCGUGGGCCACGAGGAAUCGAUGGCUUCCACAGCUGGGAAAAUGGAAGUCCAGCGGAUGGCUCUGGGGCUCCCCAGGUCUAUCUCACAGAGGUCCAGGACACUCCGCAGCUCCUCCAGGCCGUUGCUUUCCCCCCUGAAGCUGGAGUAGAGCCGGUACACGGCGUCCACGGUGGUCUCGUAUUUCUGGAGGUACUCGAUGCUGACGAUGCCCUCGGCCGGCAGCAGGGAGCUCCCGUGGGACAGGCAGUGCAUCUCCGUGAGGAGCGGGCAGAGGGACGACAGCGCCGUCCCCACCCCGCUCAGCCGCUCGGCCACCAGCGAGGCGCUGUCGGCGCUGAGCCACGUGAUCUUCAUGGUGGGGAUGCCGAAGGAGCGCAUCACCUCGCCCACCUUGCCCGCCACCGUGGAGGCCUCGCCGGCGGGCAGCUCGAAGCUCCCCAGGAAGGUGGCGGAGGUUUGCCCGUUGCAGGGCGAGACGGUGGUGGUGAACAUGGCGAGGCUGCGGUGCUCCAGGACAUCCACCGUCUCGUCCACCACCAGCCCCACGAACGGCGAAGCCUUUAUCCUGUGCCUGUCCUCGUUGUGCAGGACUUUGGCGAUCGCUGCCUGAGCCGGUCGCAGGAGUCGCGUGGGGCAGGCGGGGAGGGAAAGAGAAACACAAGUGAACUCCCGAGGCAGGGGGGAGAGACGCAGCACCCGGCGCAACGCGAGCGGCAGGGCUCCCGCCGCCGGCCUCCCCCGGAGCGGCACAAGGUCCCGGAGAAAAGCCCUUAAACGAGCCGUAUGUGCGAGGACACGUACAAACUGGAAACCUCUUCUUUUUUUCUAACCCACUGCCUCCUCCGGCGCCCCGCCUGCAGCCCAAGCACCGGGCGAAGCUGCAGAGAGUGGGGGGGUCCCUGCCCUGAGCUGCGACCCCCCUGUCACCGAGACCCUGCCCGCGCUGGGAGCGAGGCGAGACGCCGACCACCCGCCGCCUCGGUUCAAACUGCCGCGGUUACAUUCGUGCUUUACGAGCCCAGCGCGGGCAGGAGCAGCAGGAAAACUCCGCAGCACCUUUUCCUUCUCCACUCGCGUUAUCCCACUUCAGGCAAGCGCCCCAGCGUGAAGGGAAAACUGCCUCGGUGUGUGUGAACGCUCCAAGCAGCACUUCAGGCUGAGAAACCUAAUUAGUGGGUUUAGUCUAUCUGCAGGAAAAAUAAGGCUCUUUAAGAGAUCUGAAAAGCAUGGCAAACGGCCAAGACUCACUAAAAAUUUAAUUUGAUUUUAACAGGCAUGAAGCAUUUGUAAAAUUAAGAAAAUCCUUUCUAAACUCUCCGGCUACUUGAUCUUUCCGAUCACUCAGUUUAGGGCAAAAGAGGAAAAACCCGCAGUGCUCGUGCGCUAAUUGAACUCCUGAGCUUCCGCCUCGCGAGCAGCCUGGCGGUGGCUGAGGAUGCUCCUG
rnacentral:lncRNA from 1 species